rnacentral:tRNA from 1 species
GGGCGUGUGGUCUAGUGGUAUGAUUUCUGUUUCGCAUACAGAAGGUCCCGCGUUCAAUUCGCGGUACGUCCA